rnacentral:sRNA from 1 species
UUGUAGUGAUGACGAUCGAAUAGUUUCAAGUGUCAUCUCCACCUGCCUCAUAGUAGGUCGUUCAUCUGCUUUCAACUUGACACAUGCCACGGCUAACAUGGCUACUUCUUUAACCUCUUUACCUCCCUCUUCAUUCAUCUGAGGAUCAAGUAUGUCACCCAAGUUGCCAUGUGUGAGUAGGGCAGUGAAAUGUGCAACAAGACUAUCAUCCUCAGGCGAUCUAUAUGAGUAUGGUUUCUUCCUGGUAAGUAGCUCUAUUAGAACAACACCGAAACUAAAAACAUCACUUUUCUCUGUGAGACGUCCUGUGUAGUAGUACAUGGGGUCUAGGUAUCCUAGUGUUCCUUGAAUUGCGGUUGUGACCCCAUUUUGUUCAGCAGGAAUACACCUUGAAGCUCCAAAGUCUGACACUUUUGUUGUUAGCGAGCCAUCUAAUAAGAUGUUAUGGGACUUGAUAUCCCUGUGGAUUAUAGGGAAUGACACUGCCGAGUGAAGGUAGGCAAGUGCUCUAGCGGUUUCGGUUGUAAUUCUAAGCCUAUAUUCCCAUGGCAAUGAUGUUGGUCCUUCAACAUGAAGAUGGUCAUAAAGGGUACCAUUUGAUAUAAAUUCAUAGACCAACAAUGGCACUUCUGUCUCGAGGCAACAUCCAAAAAGUUUGACCACAUUACGAUGGUUGAUUUGUGAGAGAAUGGCUACCUCGUUUAUGAACUCAUCAAUCUCCCUUUGGACUGCUACCUUUGAUUUCUUGAUCGCAACAACGUGAAGAUCCGAUAAAAUCCCUUUGUACACAGUGCCAUGCCCUCCUCCUCCAAGCUUACGCGAUUCAUCAAAAUUGUUUGUGGCCUUCUCCAGUUCUGCCAAAGGGAUGAUCAUCCUUUCAGCAAUAUCAGCCUUUUGAGAUACCAACUGUUCCAACAAAUGGCCACGGUUCUGUUUGAAGAACUUCUGUCUCAGCAUUCUUGCUCUCCGAUUCUU